ensembl:ncRNA C10F3.16 ncRNA
CCCGCUACGUUGGCUUCUCCCAUCUCAUCCCUCUUCUUCUAUACACGCACACUCCACACUUUGCUCUCUUCUUCUUCUUCUUCUUGUUCAGUUUCUCUCGAAAUCUGAAUCGAUAGAGUGUGACGGAGCACGAAGAGACGCAG